GAUCAUGGCUCAGGAUGAACGCUAGCGGCAGGCCUAAUACAUGCAAGUCGAACGGGAUGGGCCCCUUCGGGGGCCCUGAGAGUGGCGCACGGGUGCGCAACGCGUAUGCAACCAACCCCCGACAGGCGGAUAGCCGGUGGAAACGCCGGAUAAUACGCCAUGGUUCCUCGGGAGGGCAUCCUCCUGAGGAUAAAGCCGAGAGGCGGUCGGGGACGGGCAUGCGUCCCAUUAGAUGGUAGGCGGGGUGACGGCCCACCUAGUCCGCGAUGGGUAGGGGAUCUGAGAGGACGGUCCCCCACACUGGUACUGAGACACGGACCAGACUCCUGCGGGAGGCAGCAGUAAGGGAUAUUGGUCAAUGGGGGCAACCCUGAACCAGCCAUGCCCGCGUGAGGGAAUGAGGCCCUACGGGUCGUGAACCUCUUUUAUUCGGGGACAAGGACUGGGUCGCGAACCUAGUUUGAGGGUACCGAAGGAAUAAGCAUCGGCUAACUCCGUGCCAGCAGCAGC
rnacentral:rRNA from 1 species